AUGUUCCCCAUAACCUCACAAUUCAGGAAUCAAAAAUCAUAUUCAAAAUUUCAUAUCUCUCUUCACAAUUCAGCCGAAUACCCCCUUUCUCACCUCCAUAAUUUCGAAAUUUUGAUGAUUCUUGCAAGAACAUCAUUAAAUCUAAGGUGUUUCCAAGCUAUUUUGAUGAUCCAAAGGUGCUUUCUUGGUAAAAUAAGCUUUCAAACAUCAAAAAUCAUGUCAAAACCCACUUGAAUCUUGAAGGACGUAUAUAAUCAAUCUCUGGGAGUGCGAUAUUAAAAUACGCACCCAAAGGUGAGUGUCACUAAACCCCUCUUUUUACUGUUUUAUAUAUAUUUGGGGGGUUUCAUAAACUCAUCCAUCUUCACGUAUCUGAAACAAACAACAAACACUUAGAAAAAUUUUUGAAUUUUAACAACAACAGUUUCAAACGAAAUCACUUCACGCGAAAUGACUUUCAAACGAAAAUACCCUUCACACGAAAUUAUCUUUCACACGAAAUACCCUUUUCGUGCGAAAUAACAAGUUUGGUGCGAAAUAAAGGUUCUAAGAUGAUUUCGUGCGAAAUUAGAUCUGAUUUCCUGCGAAAUUAUGUUCACCAACUUAAUUUCGUGCGAAAUACCAAAUACGAUGCUGAUUUCAUGCGAAAUACUGUGAUUUCAACCUAA
rnacentral:lncRNA from 1 species